ACCGUCGUUGUCUUGGGUGAGAGCCAUUGAUUAAUGAACGUAUGUGAAAUCAAUGCUGCUGACGCCAAUAUUGACAUUAUUAUCGCAUCGGUCCUUGUGACUGGGUGCAAUUUUUGGAUCC
rnacentral:ncRNA from 1 species